rnacentral:rRNA from 1 species
GAUGAACGCUGGCGGCGUGCUUAAUACAUGCAAGUCGAACGAAGAAUUAAAUUAGCUUGCUAAUUUAAUUCUUAGUGGCGAACGGGUGAGUAAUACAUAUGCAACCUGCCCAUUUGUCUGGGAUAACUACUAGAAAUGGUGGCUAAUACCGGAUACGUAUCAUGAAGGCAUCUUCUAAAUAUUAAAGUUGGGUUUCCAACGCAGAUGGAUGGGCAUAUGUUGUAUUAGCUUGUUGGUGAGGUAACGGCUCACCAAGGCGAUGAUACAUAGCCGGCCUGAGAGGGUGAACGGCCACAUUGGGACUGAGACACGGCCCAGACUCC